GGAUGUGAGGGUGUCUGCCUAAGACAUCUGUCACCCCACUGAUCACCAGGGUUGAUGUAGCUGACUGGUUGACUCCUCACUCACUGAUCCAUGUGUAUCCCUCCCGAAGCUGCAUGCUCACUGGAAGAGGACAACCACCCCGCUAGAGGACUGCUUCCUCAGUCAAGGAUAUACAAGUAACUGAACUCCCCUGCUAGAACCUCCAAACAAGUUUUCAAAUAGUUCCAGACAGAGAAUUAGUGCAUUCCAUGAUAUGGAUAUUUAAAACGAGUAAACACAUAUGGAGCUCUGGUU
ensembl:misc_RNA 7SK 7SK RNA